rnacentral:rRNA from 7 species
GGGUUGUGAGGUUAAGCGACUAAGCGUACACGGUGGAUGCCCUGGCAGUCAGAGGCGAUGAAGGGCGUGCUAAUCUGCGAUAAGCGCCGGUAAGGUGAUAUGAACCGUUAUAACCGGCGAUACCCGAAUGGGGAAACCCAGUGUGAUUCGUCACACUAUCAUUAACUGAAUCCAUAGGUUAAUGAGGCGAACCGGGGGAACUGAAACAUCUAAGUACCCCGAGGAAAAGAAAUCAACCGAGAUUCCCCCAGUAGCGGCGAGCGAACGGGGAGGAGCCCAGAGCCUGAAUCAGCAUGUGUGUUAGUGGAAGCGUCUGGAAAGGCGCGCGAUACAGGGUGACAGCCCCGUACACAAAAGCGCAUGUGCUGUGAGCUCGAUGAGUAGGGCGGGACACGUGGUAUCCUGUCUGAAUAUGGGGGGACCAUCCUCCAAGGCUAAAUACUCCUGACUGACCGAUAGUGAACCAGUACCGUGAGGGAAAGGCGAAAAGAACCCCGGCGAGGGGAGUGAAAAAGAACCUGAAACCGUGUACGUACAAGCAGUGGGAGCCCCACCACUAAGCCAGUGGUGAACUCCACAUCCGCAUCCUUUGCUGAGGAUACGGUUAACGGAGCGAAAGCGACGUUCAACCGCAAAACAAGCAGAGGGGGCUUAGUGGUGGGGUGACUGCGUACCUUUUGUAUAAUGGGUCAGCGACUUAUAUUCUGUAGCAAGGUUAACCGAAUAGGGGAGCCGGAGGGAAACCGAGUCUUAAUUGGGCGUUAAGUUGCAGGGUAUAGACCCGAAACCCGGUGAUCUAGCCAUGGGCAGGUUGAAGGUUGGGUAACACUAACUGGAGGACCGAACCGACUAAUGUUGAAAAAUUAGCGGAUGACCUGUGGCUGGGGGUGAAAGGCCAAUCAAACCGGGAGAUAGCUGGUUCUCCCCGAAAGCUAUUUAGGUAGCGCCUCGUGAAUUCAUCUCCGGGGGUAGAGCACUGUUUCGGCUAGGGGGCCAUCCCGGCUUACCAACCCGAUGCAAACUGCGAAUACCGGAGAAUGUUAUCACGGGAGACACACGGCGGGUGCUAACGUCCGUCGUGAAGAGGGAAACAACCCAGACCGCCAGCUAAGGUCCCAAAGUCAUGGUUAAGUGGGAAACGAUGUGGGAAGGCCCAGACAGCCAGGAUGUUGGCUUAGAAGCAGCCAUCAUUUAAAGAAAGCGUAAUAGCUCACUGGUCGAGUCGGCCUGCGCGGAAGAUGUAACGGGGCUAAACCAUGCACCGAAGCUGCGGCAGCGAACGUAUCACUUAAAGCGAUUCAGCGGGUUACGAUUGACGGAGCGAAGCGACGUCAAAGCGUAUACAAAGUCGAGUCGGUUUAAGGAUACGUUCGUUGGGUAGGGGAGCGUUCUGUAAGCCCGUGAAGGUGGCCUGUGAGGGUUGCUGGAGGUAUCAGAAGUGCGAAUGCUGACAUAAGUAACGAUAAAGCGGGUGAAAAGCCCGCUCGCCGGAAGACCAAGGGUUCCUGUCCAACGUUAAUCGGGGCAGGGUGAGUCGACCCCUAAGGCGAGGCCGAAAGGCGUAGUCGAUGGGAAACGGGUUAAUAUUCCCGUACUUGGUGUUACUGCGAAGGGGGGACGGAGAAGGCUAUGUUGGCCGGGCGACGGUUGUCCCGGUUUAAGCGUGUAGGUGUGUGUUCCAGGUAAAUCCGGUUCACUUUAACACUGAGGCGUGACGACGAGGCACUACGGUGCUGAAGCAACAAAUGCCCUGCUUCCAGGAAAAGCCUCUAAGCAUCAGGUAACACGAAAUCGUACCCCAAACCGACACAGGUGGUCAGGUAGAGAAUACCAAGGCGCUUGAGAGAACUCGGGUGAAGGAACUAGGCAAAAUGGUGCCGUAACUUCGGGAGAAGGCACGCUGACACGUAGGUGAAGUGAUUUACUCAUGGAGCUGAAGUCAGUCGAAGAUACCAGCUGGCUGCAACUGUUUAUUAAAAACACAGCACUGUGCAAACACGAAAGUGGACGUAUACGGUGUGACGCCUGCCCGGUGCCGGAAGGUUAAUUGAUGGGGUCAGCGCAAGCGAAGCUCCUGAUCGAAGCCCCGGUAAACGGCGGCCGUAACUAUAACGGUCCUAAGGUAGCGAAAUUCCUUGUCGGGUAAGUUCCGACCUGCACGAAUGGCGUAAUGAUGGCCAGGCUGUCUCCACCCGAGACUCAGUGAAAUUGAACUCGCUGUGAAGAUGCAGUGUACCCGCGGCAAGACGGAAAGACCCCGUGAACCUUUACUAUAGCUUGACACUGAACAUUGAGCCUUGAUGUGUAGGAUAGGUGGGAGGCUUUGAAGUGUGGACGCCAGUCUGCAUGGAGCCGACCUUGAAAUACCACCCUUUAAUGUUUGAUGUUCUAACGUGGACCCGUAAUCCGGGUUGCGGACAGUGUCUGGUGGGUAGUUUGACUGGGGCGGUCUCCUCCUAAAGAGUAACGGAGGAGCACGAAGGUUGGCUAAUCCUGGUCGGACAUCAGGAGGUUAGUGCAAUGGCAUAAGCCAGCUUGACUGCGAGCGUGACGGCGCGAGCAGGUGCGAAAGCAGGUCAUAGUGAUCCGGUGGUUCUGAAUGGAAGGGCCAUCGCUCAACGGAUAAAAGGUACUCCGGGGAUAACAGGCUGAUACCGCCCAAGAGUUCAUAUCGACGGCGGUGUUUGGCACCUCGAUGUCGGCUCAUCACAUCCUGGGGCUGAAGUAGGUCCCAAGGGUAUGGCUGUUCGCCAUUUAAAGUGGUACGCGAGCUGGGUUUAGAACGUCGUGAGACAGUUCGGUCCCUAUCUGCCGUGGGCGCUGGAGAACUGAGGGGGGCUGCUCCUAGUACGAGAGGACCGGAGUGGACGCAUCACUGGUGUUCGGGUUGUCAUGCCAAUGGCACUGCCCGGUAGCUAAAUGCGGAAGAGAUAAGUGCUGAAAGCAUCUAAGCACGAAACUUGCCCCGAGAUGAGUUCUCCCUGAGACUUAGAGUCUCCUGAAGGAACGUUGAAGACGACGACGUUGAUAGGCCGGGUGUGUAAGCGCAGCGAUGCGUUGAGCUAACCGGUACUAAUGAACCGUGAGGCUUAACCUUACAACGCCGAAG